rfam:Cavia porcellus supercont2_30 genomic scaffold, whole genome shotgun sequence.
AAUUUUGCACAGUGGCUGUAUUGUAGCCAAUGAGGUUUAUCUGAGAUGCGUUUAUUGCUAAUUGAAAUAGCUAUUCACAACUAAGAUGUGCUACAAGCAUUAAAUGUACACCACAAUUUGCAGAACUUAGUACAAAUAA